rnacentral:rRNA from 1 species
AACAUCUUUUCUCGUUAGUUUUUGAAGUAUGGCCUGCCCACUGACUUUUGAAUGUUGAAGGGCCGCGGUAUUUUGACCGUGCAAAGGUAGCAUAGUCAUUAGUUCUUUAAUUGUGAUCUGGUAUGAAUGGCUUGACGAGGCAUGGGCUGUCUUAAAUUUUGAAUUGUUUAUUGAAUUUGGUCUUUGAGUUAAAAUUCUUAGAUGCUUUUAUGGGACGAGAAGACCCUAUAGAGUUUAACAUUUAUUAUGGUCUCUUUCUGUUUGUGAGGGUUCACUGGGCCGUUUAAUAUGUUUUGUUGGGGUGAUGGGAGAGAUUUGUUUAACCUCUCCUUUGUGUUGUUAUAUUUAUUUAUAUUUACUU